rnacentral:rRNA from 1 species
CUUCUGAACGUUGACCUCGGAUCAGGUAGGAAUACCCGCCUGAACUU